AUUGAACGCUGGCGGCAUGCCUAACACAUGCAAGUCGAGCGAGCGGCGGACGGGUGAGUAAUGCAUGGGGAUCUGCCCUAUAGCGGGGGAUAACUACUGGAAACAGUGGCUAAUACCGCAUACUAUUGGCUGUACCCAUAUGGCAUUAGCUAGUAGGGAAGGUAAUGGCUUACCUAGGCGACGAUCCCAAGCUGGUCUGAGAGGCUGAUCAGCCACACUGGGACUGAGACACGGCCCAGACUCCUACGGGAGGCAGCAGUGGGGAAUCUUGCACAAUGGGCGAAAGCCUGAUGCAGCCAUGCCGCGUGUAUGAAGAAGGUCCUAGGGUUGUAAAGCACUUUUAGUAGGGAAGCGUUACCGACAGAAGAAGCACCGGCUAACUACGUGCCAGCAGCCGCGGUAAUUC
rnacentral:rRNA from 1 species